GACGAACGCUGGCGGCGUGCUUAACACAUGCAAGUCGAACGAAGAGCGAUGGAAGCUUGCUUCUAUCAAUCUUGGGGCCAACGGGGGAGGAACCCGGUAACCACCCUGCCUUCCGGGGGGGGCCACAGUUGGGAACGACUGCUAAUACCCCAAAAGGACCGGCCCCGGCAUUGGGGGUGGAUGAAAGGGUGGCUCUAUUUUUAAGCUAACACUGAAGGUGGGGGUUGCGUCUGAUUAGCUAGUUGGAGGGGUAACGGCCCACCAAGGCAAUGAUCAGUAGCCGGUCUGAGAGGAUGAACGGCCACAUUGGGACUGAGACACGGCCCAGACUCCUACGGGAGGCAGCAGUGGGGAAUCUUCCGCAAUGGACGAAAGUCUGACGGAGCAACGCCGCGUGAGUGAUGACGGCCUUCGGGUUGUAAAGCUCUGUUAAUCGGGACGAAAGGUCUUCUUGCGAAUAGUUAGAAGAAUUGACGGUACCGGAAUAGAAAGCCACGGCUAACUACGUG
rnacentral:rRNA from 1 species